rnacentral:tRNA from 1 species
GAGGGUAUAGCUCAGUGGUAGAGCCCGUGUUUAGCAUGCACGUGGUCCUGGGAUCAAUUUCCAGUACCUCCA